AUUAAAAACGGCCCUGGUACUACCUGUAUCUGACUUCACAAAAAUAAUAUAUAGUUGUAUGACUUGUAUUCUUGAGCCUUAAAGGCUAUGUACACCUUCGGGGGCAAUCUUUUUAUGCUUGCAUUUUACUCAUUUGGGGCUAAAAAAUCAUUGAGCUGUUAUAUCACAAAGGUUUAACAGUUUUUCUAGCUAUGUGCAUCCUACUUUCACUUUGUACUGGUCAUCUAAGUACCCUUAUCUUUAAAUUACUAAGAUGUCAUAAACACUUA